rfam:Myotis lucifugus cont2.25588, whole genome shotgun sequence.
GGCAGUUCUUGGGUGAUGCACCCCAGAAUCGGUCUCCCACCUCUCUAGUUCCAGGGUGCGUCACCUGAAAACUGCC